rnacentral:rRNA from 1 species
AGGUCUUGACAUCUUUUGAUCACCUGAGAGAUCAGGUUUCCCCUUCGGGGGGCAAAAUGAC